CGGGGAUCGAACCUACGACCUCAGGGAUGAGAGUCGCACGCAGGAGUUGUGUUCAUAAAGUCUUUUAAGAUUGAGGAUGUUGAGUGGUCUAUUUUGACGGUGUGUUUGCUGGUGUGGGGAUGUCAAGGAUUGAGUAACGAUUUCGAGAGCACAAAUCAAUGGCUUGAAACCUUUUUAACUACAACAGAUGAAAGUCCCACGGAUUGUUACACUGAGAAGCAGGAAGUGGGGCAAUGGGUGAAAUUGUCGGAAUGCAUGGACAGCAACAACAUCGACUUGGAAAAGACAGGCUUUUACAGAGAGUCAAGCGGCCACAACUUGAAGAUAUGCUGUCCAAGAAGUCGAUUGAUUACGACCGGGACCGAGAUUCUACCUCCAAUGCCGAAACAGAAGGCAGGUUGUGGGUGGAGCAACCCUGGCGGCUUCCCAUUCCCAGACUCUUCAAAGACGCGCGCCAAGUUCGGAGAGUUUCCUUGGAUGGUUGCUUUGAUGAAGAAGAUUGCCAAAACGACUCGGCAAAAGGUGCCCAAGGAGUUGCGGUUGUGCAAGUUCUUAAAUAUAGAUUGUUUAUCUGUCUAUGAUCCGGACAGCUCUGGUUGUACUGUUGAAGCACCAUUGAAAAAUACUGAUUUGAGUCCUAAAGAAGAUGAAAGUCCCACGGAUUGUUACACUGAGAAGAAGGAAGUGGGGCAAUGGGUGAAAUUGUCGGAAUGCAUGGACAGCAACAACAUCGACUUGGAAAAGACAGGCGUUUACAGAGAGUCAAGCGGCCACAACUUGAAGAUAUGCUGUCCAAGAAGUCGAUUGAUUACGACCGGGACCGAGAUUCUACCUCCAAUGCCGAAACAGAAGGCAGGUUGUGGGUGGAGCAACCCUGGCUGCUUCCCAUUCCCAGACUCUUCAAAGACGCGCGCCAAGUUCGGAGAGUUUCCUUGGAUGGUUGCUUUGAUGAAGUAAUUUACACAUUACCAAGUUUGAGGAUUGGUCUGGUCUCGUCACGAUGUUUGAAUUAUCUACACGCUGCUACAUCAAGCUGCUGCAACAACAUUUUACUGAUUUUGAUGUCACCUAUGGCUUACAUGAAAGUCCCACGGAUUGUUACACUGAGAAGAAGGAAGUGGGGCAAUGGGUGAAAUUGUCGGAAUGCAUGGACAGCAACAACAUCGACUUGGAAAAGACAGGCGUUUACAGAGAGUCAAGCAGCCACAACUUGAAGAUAUGCUGUCCAAGAAGUCGAUUGAUUACGACCGGGACCGAGAUUCUACCUCCAAUGCCGAAACAGAAGGCAGGUUGUGGGUGGAGCAACCCUGGCGGCUUCCCAUUUCCAGACUCUUCAAAGACGCUCGCCAAGUUCGGAGAGUUUCCUUGGAUGGUUGCUUUGAUGAGGAAGGUUACCAAAACGACUCGGCAAAAGGUGCCCAAGGAGUUGUGCAAGUUCUUAAAUAUAGAUUGUUUAUCUGUCUAUGAUCCGGACAGCUCUGGUUGUACUGUUGAAGCACCAUUGAAAAAUACUGAUUUGAGUCUUAAAAAAGUUUCAGUUUCCAGCCCAUGUUUGACGGUCACGGGCGAAGUUGGUCAAUGCGUGUCAUAUUACGACUGUUAUGAUGUGGUCCAGGAUAAAUAUGAUAAAGGAAGGAAACCCGAAUGUCCACACUACCUUCAUGUCUGCUGCAUGGAUGUGCCAACUGGUGAUGAGGAUUUAGAAAUUUAAAACUUAAUUUAAUGAAAUAUUUUAGGUAGCAUAAUGCUCACUAAACAAUAGUUCUUUUAUAUAUACAUUUAUAGCCAGUUCUAAAGGGCGACAAACGCCCCCUCUUUAAACCGCCAUUUUGGUUUAUAAGAUGCGCGUGUAAAUCUAUAAUAAUUCUCAUGAGACAACGAUAUAUAAGUGUAUAAGAGUGAACGGGAUACAAAAUGGUGUCUUUGUUCUGUUUUAUGAAACAUCUUGUUUACGUUCUAAAAUGUACAAUAUUGACAAAAAACUGCAAAAGACGAACGAAACAUCGAAAGAAACUUCAACUUUGAUCACAAUUAGCAACGGGAAUUUAUUACACUAUUUAUUUAUACGAAUUACAAAUUAUAUCAAUGAAUUUUCAUUGCCAAUAAAUAAAACAAAACUUAGA